AACAUUCAGGAGCACUGCUGAUCUACCAAGAUUUUCAAGAGACCAUUAACCAAACUAAAUCAACUGUGGGGGUGCCAUGACUUUGGUUUGGAAUCUGUCAAGGAAACGCACGCAAUCAAUCAACCCAGAAACAGAAGAAAGCUUUGAUGGCAGCGAGGUUUAUUCUGAGAAGGAGGAGAAUGUGAACUAUUCAGCCAUCUCCACAGGAUAUUUUCCAUAUUACAGAUCAAAUGAGGAGUACUUUGUCGAACCUCUCUUAUAUGACUUAAAUGAAGAAGGAGAGAAGCCUGAAAACAAAGAUGAAGGAGAAGGUGGAUGUGUGGAGCUUGGUGGAGAUGCUGAGAAGACCGCCCACCCAGCUCUGGGGACAGAGAGGAAGCUGUGUUCUUCCAUGGCCAAUGUAGAGCCAACAUCCCAGCAGCUCCCAGGAGGCAGCACCUUGGAAGGCUGCCUUCCAUCCUUCUCCCUCCCCACCACACCGCCAGGCCUGAACCGGCCCUUUUCUUCCAGUGGAUACUUCCCUUACUACAGAACAGAAGCAGAGCUCUGCAUCGGCCCAGCAAUGUGUGACAAGUUUCCCACCAGGACAGAAAAUUUGGAGAAUGAAGAGGGAAGAUGGGUAGAAGACAAAAACACUUGGUAUUCUGAUGCCAGCUGCUUGGUGUCCUGA
rnacentral:lncRNA from 1 species